rnacentral:rRNA from 1 species
UACGGAGGGUGCAAGCGUUGCUCGGAAUUAUUGGGCGUAAAGGGCAGGUAGGUGGUCCGAUUUGUCUGGGGUGAAAUCCUUGGGCUUAACUCAAGAAGUGCCCCAGAAACGGUCGGACUAGAGUGCUGGAGAGGCUAGCGGAAUACCCGGUGUAGCGGUGAAAUGCGUAGAGAUCGGGUGGAACACCAGAGGCGAAGGCGGCUAGCUGGACAGUGACUGACACUCAACUGCGAAAGCGUGGGGAGCAAACAGGG